CACCGCGCCUGCAUGCGUGUCUCCUCCUCCGCCGCCUUCCCCAGCAGCCCUACAACCUGAUCGGUCCAAAAUAAAGAACAAGAGUUGAUAAAGGAGGGGCUUAAGGAGAAGUUGUUGGCCCGGCUGUGACCGAAGAGGGAGGGAAGACCAAGGUGAUGCAACAUCCAAUAAGGCAAUAUUGGCGGAAAGAAGCCCCAACUUAUGAACCAGCACAGUCAGGGCUGAAGACGAGAGGUCACCUGCACGCAUAGAAAAGUUUCUGGAUUAGGGCAGAAUUAACACAAAGCAGCGACGCCACUCCAGCUACACUCGCAAACAACGCAGAAGAGGCACGAGGGGGACUGAGACACUUGAGCGAACGCCACCUCAGAAAAUUUCAAACUCUGAUAGCGAGAGGCAGACGAGUCCAUCCCCAGAGAGAGAGAGAGGCAGCAGAGGCAGAGAGACGGCAGCAGGGGAUCUUUGCCGACAAGGUCCUGAAGGAUGGAAGAGAAGCAGUUUGCCGGG